AUUGAACGCUGGCGGCAGGCCUAACACAUGCAAGUCGAACGAGUGGCGGACGGGUGAGUAAUGUCUGGGAAACUGCCUGAUGGAGGGGGAUAACUACUGGAAACGGUAGCUAAUACUGCAUACGACAGGAUGUGCACAGACUGGAUUAGCUAGUAGGUGGGGUAACGGCUCACCUAGGCGCCGAGCCCUAGCUGGUCUGAGAGGAUGACCGGCCACACUGGAACUGAGACACGGUCCAGACUCCUACGGGAGGCAGCAGUGGGGAAUAUUGCACAAUGGGCGCAAGCCUGAUGCAGCCAUGCCGCGUGUAUGAAGAAGGCCUUCGGGUUGUAAAGUACUUUCAGCGGGGAGGCGUUACCCGCAGAAGAAGCACCGGCUAACUCCGUGCCAGCAGCCGCGGUAAUUC
rnacentral:rRNA from 1 species